rnacentral:rRNA from 1 species
GAUGAACGCUGGCGGCGUGCCUAAUACAUGCAAGUCGAGCGAACAGACGAGAAGCUUUCUCCUCUGACGUUAGCGGCGGACGGGUGAGUAACACGUGGAUAACCUACCUAUAAGACUGGGAUAACUUCGGGAAACCGGAGCUAAUACCGGAUAAUAUAUUGAACCGCAUGGUUCAGUAGUGAAAGACGGUUUUGCUGUCACUUAUAGAUGGAUCCGCGCCGCAUUAGCUAGUUGGUAAGGUAACGGCUUACCAAGGCAACGAUGCGUAGCCGAUCUGAGAGGGUGAUCGGCCACACUGGAACUGAGACACGGUCCAGACUCCUACGGGAGGCAGCAGUAGGGAAUCUUCCGCAAUGGGCGAAAGCCUGACGGAGCAACGCCGCGUGAGUGAUGAAGGUCUUCGGAUCGUAAAACUCUGUUAUUAGGGAAGAACAAAUGUGGAAGUAACUAUGCACGUCUUGACGGUACCUAAUCAGAAAGCCACGGCUAACUACGUG